UUCGCUGACACGCAUAGGUUUAUAUAUAAGUAGCAUAGAUAACAAAUUAGAAUUAGAACACGUAGCGCAAAACUUUUUUUUUAGUGCUUCCAAGCGACGAACCUUUUUCCGAUUCAAUUAUUCUAUGGAAUAAGUAUUCUCUUGAACCAUAUUAGUUAGAUAAUUCAAAUUUUUGAACCGGUUUGAUUUCCCUUCUCCCGGUUCAACCAAACCAUGCUUUCCUUAAAUAACCCAGACCUAGAGAAACUCUGAUUAAACUCAUCUUCCCUUCUUCUCUCACAACCGAACGUGUUGUCCAAGACCAUGGUUACCUCUUCAUGUAAUCAAUACUGUGAUGUGGUGUUGCAAGAGGAAGAGGCCACGAAGCCUUGUCACACCAGCUCACCUCUUCCCACCUUCUGUAGAUAUAUAUAGAUGAGUCAAGUCUCUCAAUUUUCCUGGAAACCACACGAAGAGAAGAAAGGAAGCAAGAGUGGCGGCCAAGAAGAAGGAAGAGGAAGACCCAGCAGAAAUCAUCAUCAUCUGCGUGCGUCACCACCAAGAAGAAGGAGAAGGGUCAUCAAGAGAGCUGCUACCCGAAGCCAAAGAAGGAAUCCUAUCUCUUUCCUUUCCUGGUUUUCUUAGUGUUCCUCUUGUUGGGGUUUUCUGAUUUAAUAUAGCAAAGGACAGACUUUGGUUUGUGAAAUUCUCGAAGAGAGACGGGUCCGGCAGAGGAGCCCUGUGAGUUUCGUUCUAACCGCUGAGCUAUGAGGAUCCGGCACGCGGCGGAGUCUUCAUAUGGAGCAUGUUUUGGACCUCUUUCUUGCACAAUGUUCAGAGAUCACUCUAGAGUUAGUCGCAGUGGAUCUUUCGCUCCUGUUUGAUGAUCUUAGUAUCACUUUUCCCUCACUUUUGUAGUACUUUUAGAGGGGUAGGACGUCUUAGUAGUUCGGUUCCAGCUUAGGAAACCCGUGUGAGGGUUGGGACUGAUUUCUUCUUUUGUAUCUGUACAUAUAACUUGGUGUGACACUCGGCUUUGAUGGAUGACACGUAUCCUUGAAUUUAACUCAUGUGUAUAUUAUAUAUAUGUUUAUAUAUGUUAUUUUCGGUU